rnacentral:rRNA from 1 species
CAAGUCCGGCAGGGAUAAACGCUGAAGGCAUCUAAGCGUGAAGCCCCCCUCAAGAUGAGAUAUCCCUCAGAAAUGAGUAAGACCCCUUGAAGACUACGAGGUAGAUAGGAAUGAGGUGUAAGCACAGCAAUGUGUUCAGCUGACAUUUACUAAUCGGUCGAGGGCUUGACCAAA